AACACGUAGUAAUCAGCCUGAGUGGUGGAUAACUUCCGAAAGGAGGGCUAAUACAGCAUGAGACCACGGCUCGCGAGAGGUUGAGGUCAAAGCCGGCCUCUGUACACAAGCUGGCGCUCGGGGAUGAGCCUGCGGCCCAUCAGCUAGUUGGUAGGGUAAUGGCCUACCAAGGCGAACACGGGUAGCUGGUCUGAGAGGAUGAUCAGCCACACUGGAACCUGAGACACGGUCCAGACUCCUACGGGAGGCAGCAGCUGGGGAACUCUUGCGCAAUGGGCGAAAGCCUGACGCAGCGACGCGCGUGAGUGAUGCANGGCCUUCGGCGUUGUAAAGCUCUGUCGGACGAGGGACGAACUACACCUCCGGACCGAACAGCCUCCGCAUCGAAUUGAACCUCGGCUCAACCCCCUCCUUCUUACAGCCCNAAACGUGCCCACUCCUGGGGUCUUAACCGCCUCCCCUUGGUAGACCCAAGGACAUCAGGUCCAGGCUCCGUCGUAAACAGCAACCAAGAUGAACCGUGGCGUUCGCCACACNCCCGAGUCACGGAUCCCCCCGCGANCACNUUUACCCGCUCGGGCCUCCCGCGUCCACAUCACC
rnacentral:rRNA from 1 species